UGGGGAAUAUUGCGCAAUGGGGGCAACCCUGACGCAGCCAUGCCGCGUGAAUGAAGAAGGCCUUCGGGUUGUAAAGUUCUUUCGGUAGCGAGGAAGGCAUUUAGUUUAAUAGACUAGGUGAUUGACGUUAACUACAGAAGAAGCACCGGCUAACUCCGUGCCAGCAGCCGCGGUAAUACGGAGGGUGCGAGCGUUAAUCGGAAUAACUGGGCGUAAAGGGCACGCAGGCGGUGACUUAAGUGAGGUGUGAAAGCCCCGGGCUUAACCUGGGAAUUGCAUUUCAUACUGGGUCGCUAGAGUACUUUAGGGAGGGGUAGAAUUCCACGUGUAGCGGUGAAAUGCGUAGAGAUGUGGAGGAAUACCGAAGGCGAAGGCAGCCCCUUGGGAAUGUACUGACGCUCAUGUGCGAAAGCGUGGGGAGCAAACAGGAUUAGAUACCCUGGUAGUCCACGCUGUAAACGAUGUCGAUUUGGGGGUUGAACUUUAAGUUUGGCGCCCGUAGCUNACGUGAUAAAUCGACCGCCUGGGGAGUACGGCCGCAAGGUU
rnacentral:rRNA from 1 species